rnacentral:rRNA from 1 species
GAUGAACGCUGGCGGCGUGCCUAAUACAUGCAAGUCGAGCGACGCGGGGACGGGUGAGUAACACGUGGAUAACAUCCAAUAAGACUGGGAUAACUUCGGGAAACCGGAGCUAAACCGGAUACUUAUAGAAGGAUCCGCGCUGCAUUAGCUAUUUGGUAAGGUAACGGCCUACAAAGGCAACGAUGCAUAGCCGACCUGAGAAGGUGGUCGGCAACACGGAAAAGUAGACACAGUCCAGAUUCCUGCGGUAUGAAGCAGGAGGGAAUCUUCCGCAAUGGGCGAAAGCCUGACGGAGCAACGCCGCGUGAGUGAUGAAGGUCCUCGGAUCGUAAAACUCUGUUAUUAGGGAAGCGGUACCUAAGCAGAAAGCCAGGGCUAACUACGUGCCAGCGGAGGCGGUAAUAC